AUUGAACGCUGGCGGCAGGCCUAACACAUGCACGUCGAGCGAGCGGCGGACGGGUGUGAAAUGUAUGGGGAUCUGCCACAUGGUGGGGUAUCACUCGUGGGAACGGUAGCUAAUACCGCAUCCCAACAGAUGAACCUAUAUGGGAUUAGCUUGUAGGUGAGGUAACGGGUCACCUAGGCGACACUUCCUCGCUGGUCUGAGAGGAUGAUCAGCCACACUGGGACUGAGACACGGCCCAGACUCCUACGGGAGGCAGCAGUGGGGAAUAUUGCACAAUGGGCGCAAGCCUGAUGCAGCCAUGCCGCGUGUAUGAAGAAGGCCUUCGGGUUGUAAAGUACUUUCAGUCGGGAGGCGUUACCGACAGAAGAAGCACCGGCUAACUCCGUGCCAGCAGCCGCGGUAAUUC
rnacentral:rRNA from 1 species